rnacentral:rRNA from 1 species
AACCUCUUUUAGCAGGGAAGAAGCGAAAGUGACGGUACCUGCAGAAAAAGCGCCGGCUAACUACGUGCCAGCAGCCGCGGUAAUACGUAGGGCGCAAGCGUUAUCCGGAAUUAUUGGGCGUAAAGAGCUCGUAGGCGGUUUGUCGCGUCUGCUGUGAAAUCCCGAGGCUCAACCUCGGGCCUGCAGUGGGUACGGGCAGACUAGAGUGCGGUAGGGGAGAUUGGAAUUCCUGGUGUAGCGGUGGAAUGCGCAGAUAUCAGGAGGAACACCGAUGGCGAAGGCAGAUCUCUGGGCCGUAACUGACGCUGAGGAGCGAAAGGGUGGGGAGCAAACAGGCUUAGAUACCCUGGUAGUCCACCCCGUAAACGUUGGGAACUAGUUGUGGGGUCCAUUCCACGGAUUCCGUGACGCAGCUAACGCAUUAAGUUCCCCGCCUGGGGAGUACGGCCGCAAGGCUAAAACUCAAAGGAAUUGACGGGGACCCGCACAAGCGGCGGAGCAUGCGGAUUAAUUCGAUGCAACGCGAAGAACCUUACCAAGGCUUGACAUAUACGAGAACGGGCCAGAAAUGGUCAACUCUUUGGACACUCGUAAACAGGUGGUGCAUGGUUGUCGUCAGCUCGUGUCGUGAGAUGUUGGGUUAAGUCCCGCAACGAGCGCAACCCUCGUUCUAUGUUGCCAGCACGUAAUGGUGGGAACUCAUGGGAUACUGCCGGGGUCAACUCGGAGGAAGGUGGGGAUGACGUCAAAUCAUCAUGCCCCUUAUGUCUUGGGCUUCACGCAUGCUACAAUGGCCGGUACAAAGGGCUGCAAUACCGCGAGGUGGAGCGAAUCCCAAAAAGCCGGUCCCAGUUCGGAUUGAGGUCUGCAACUCGA